UGAGGAAUAUUGGUCAAUGGACGAGAGUCUGAACCAGCCAAGUAGCGUGCAGGAUGACGGCCCUAUGGGUUGUAAACUGCUUUUGUUUGGGAAUAAUCGACAUUACGUGUAAUGUUUUGCAUGUACCAUUCGAAUAAGGACCGGCUAAUUCCGUGCCAGCAGCCGCGGUAAUACGGAAGGUCCAGGCGUUAUCCGGAUUUAUUGGGUUUAAAGGGAGUGUAGGCGGUUGGUUAAGCGUGUUGUGAAAUGUAGAUGCUCAACAUCUGACUUGCAGCGCGAACUGGCUGACUUGAGUACACACAACGUAGGCGGAAUUCAUGGUGUAGCGGUGAAAUGCGUAGAUAUUGGGAGGAACACCAGUAGCGAAGGCGGCUUUCUGGCCUGAAACUGACACUGAGGCACGAAAGCGUGGGUAGCAAACAGG
rnacentral:rRNA from 1 species